rnacentral:lncRNA from 1 species
UAAUUUCUUGCCAGUAUUUAGCAGUGGUUGUAGAUAUUAGCGCAUUCCCCUUAAAUGUUUUUGGUGCCUAGAAAGAUUCUCACAUGUCAGGUACAACACACAUACGAAGGAAAGAUGAAAGUAGAGAAGCAUUGUGGAUAAUAGCACCUGGAUGCAGAGAGUAACGAAAGUGUUCAACUCCUUUUUCAGGUUAUCCCAAAUGAUUCCAAUAAUCUUUUCAACAUAUGCUUCAAGUUGCUGCUUGAAAUGCAAAGCUGGAUCCUUGGCAUCAACUGGUCGAAUAGCUUCAGCCGCUGGAGAACGGAAACCCUGGUAAAUAGAAG